GUCGAGCGAACAGACAAGGAGCUUGCUCCUUUGACGUUAGCGGCGGACGGGUGAGUAACACGUGGGUAACCUACCUAUAAGACUGGGAUAACUUCGGGAAACCGGAGCUAAUACCGGAUAAUAUUUCGAACCGCAUGGUUCGAUAGUGAAAGAUGGUUUUGCUAUCACUUAUAGAUGGACCCGCGCCGUAUUAGCUAGUUGGUAAGGUAACGGCUUACCAAGGCGACGAUACGUAGCCGACCUGAGAGGGUGAUCGGCCACACUGGAACUGAGACACGGUCCAGACUCCUACGGGAGGCAGCAGUAGGGAAUCUUCCGCAAUGGGCGAAAGCCUGACGGAGCAACGCCGCGUGAGUGAUGAAGGUCUUCGGAUCGUAAAACUCUGUUAUUAGGGAAGAACAUACGUGNAAGUAACUAUGCACGUCUUGACNGUACCUAAUCANAAAGCCACGGCUAACUACGUGNCAGCAGCCGCGGUAAUACGUAG
rnacentral:rRNA from 1 species